rnacentral:tRNA from 1 species
ACCAGGAUGCUGAGUGGUUAAGGCAUUGGUCUUAAGACCCAAUGAGCACAUGCUCAUGUGGGUUCAAACCCUACUCCAAGUA